GUCAGCUUCCGUGAAUCGGGCCCCGUAAAGUUAAAAACAUGGGAACUAAAGAUUUAAUUCAAAUUUAACUUAGAUGACAACAUUAAGCGACAAUGGGAAAAUUACAACUAUUUAGAUAUAUUUAUAGGUUAUCGGCUCCUAGGCCACAGCCAACUGGUCUGCAAAGCUUUGGACAAAGUGAAUCGGAAAUCGAACUAGAUGGUAAUUCGGACAGUUCCUCGUCAACUGCGUAAACACUGAUUGAACAGGUUUUUCAAAUAAUCCAAUCAACAAAGGAUGUGAUCAACUGCAUCGGUGGGAUACAGGUGUGGUUUCCCCUGCUGAAGCAGGUGAACAGACUCCACUUACCUCCCUUACCUCACCUGUUGACCAGUAGUGAUGGGUUUGCUAUGAGCAAUGAUGCGUUUGCAAUCGGCAACAAUGCGGUUGCUAUAAGCAAUGAUGCAUUGCAGUUGCUAUGGGCAACCUGUUACAGCCCGUGGAGAUGGAACAAGGGUGAUGUUGCCUAGCAGCUCCUAUGCAGACACAAAGCUUGAGCAGAACCAGAUGGCAGGGUACCUGACGUUGCUAGGAAACAUGGUCAAUCAGCAGACGUUUGUUCAGACAAACGGAGCGGCGUUGAUAGGCGAGCUUCUACAGAAGAUAAUGAUUGGUUAAAGGCCUUGUUUUGGGAAAACUGGGCUUAAUGCAUUGAAGCGUCUGCUAGCUGUGACAAUCAAAUGCAUUUGUCUGCGCCUGCCCCUGUCAGCUCAUAACAAAUCCUCAGGACUGGGGCACGGUCUUUGAUGGCACAAGGGACCAGAAGCAGUUGAGUCC